UACGAAGGGGGCUAGCGUUGUUCGGAUUUACUGGGCGUAAAGCGCACGUAGGCGGAUUGGUCAGUUAGGGGUGAAAUCCUGGAGCUCAACUCCAGAACUGCCUUUAAUACUGCCAGUCUCGAGUCCGGAAGAGGUAAGUGGAACUCCUAGUGUAGAGGUGGAAUUCGUAGAUAUUAGGAAGAACACCAGUGGCGAAGGCGGCUUACUGGUCCGGUA
rnacentral:rRNA from 1 species